rnacentral:rRNA from 1 species
CAGUCGCCACGGUAAUACAGAGGGUGCGAGCGUUAAUCGGAUUUACUGGGCGUAAAGCGUGCGUAGGCGGUUAUAUAAGACAGAUGUGAAAUCCCCGGGCUCAACCUGGGAACUGCAUUUGUGACUGUAUAGCUAGAGUACGGCAGAGGGGGAUGGAAUUCCGCGUGUAGCAGUGAAAUGCGUAGAUAUGCGGAGGAACACCGAUGGCGAAGGCAAUCCCCUGGGCCUGUACUGACGCUCAUGCACGAAAGCGUGGGGAGCAAACAGGAUUAGAUACCCCCGUAGUCCCUGUCUCUUAUAC